CGGGGGUGGGAGGUAAAGUAGCUUGGGAAGUACUGGCUUAUGAGGGGGGGUAACUACGGGAAACUGUAGCUAAUACCGCGUAGAAUCGGGAGGAUGAAAGUAGGGGACCUUCGGGCCGCAUGCCAUAGGAUGAGCCCAAGUGGGAUUAGGUAGUUGGUGAGGUAAAGGCUCACCAAGCCGACGAUCUCUAGCUGGUCUGAGAGGAUGACCAGCCACACUGGGACUGAGACACGGCCCCAG
rnacentral:rRNA from 1 species